GACGAACCGAGCGAACGUUGUUCGGAAUCACUGGGCUUAAAGGGCGCGUAGGCGGGCUGUCAAGUCUGGGGUGAAAUGCCGCGGCUCAACCGUGGAACUGCCUCAGAUACUGACGGCCUCGAGGGAGGUAGGGGCGUGCGGAACUGUAGGUGGAGCGGUGAAAUGCGUUGAUAUCUACAGGAACUCCGGUGGCGAAAGCGGCGCGCUGGACCUCUUCUGACGCUGAUGCGCGAAAGCUAGGGGAGCAAACGGG
rnacentral:rRNA from 1 species